rnacentral:rRNA from 1 species
AGAGACCGGCGCACGGGUGCGUAACGCGUAUGCAAUCUACCUUUUGCAGAGGGAUAGCCCAGAGAAAUUUGGAUUAAUACCUCAUAGUAUGUGAGAAUGGCAUCAUUUUCACAUUAAAGUCACAACGGCAAAAGAUGAGCAUGCGUCCCAUUAGCUUGUUGGUAAGGUAACGGCUUACCAAGGCUACGAUGGGUAGGGGUCCUGAGAGGGAGAUCCCCCACACUGGUACUGAGACACGGACCAGACUCCUACGGGAGGCAGCAGUGAGGAAUAUUGGACAAUGGGCGCAAGCCUGAUCCAGCCAUGCCGCGUGCAGGAUGACGGUCCUAUGGAUUGUAAACUGCUUUUGUACAGGAAGAAACACUGGUUCGUGAACCAGCUUGACGGUACUGUAAGAAUAAGGAUCGGCUAACUCCGUGCCAGCAGCCGCGGUAAUACGGAGGAUCCAAGCGUUAUCCGGAAUCAUUGGGUUUAAAGGGUCCGUAGGCGGUUUAGUAAGUCAGUGGUGAAAGCCCAUCGCUCAACGGUGGAACGGCCAUUGAUACUGCUAGACUUGAAUUAUUAGGAAGUAACUAGAAUAUGUAGUGUAGCGGUGAAAUGCUUAGAGAUUACAUGGAAUACCAAUUGCGAAGGCAGGUUACUACUAAUGGAUUGACGCUGAUGGACGAAAGCGUGGGUAGCGAACAGGAUUAGAUACCCUGGUAGUCCACGCCGUAAACGAUGGAUACUAGCUGUUGGGCGCAAGUUCAGUGGCUA